AACCACGUCCUUUAUUGUCCAGCACGUUUUGUCGUUCACAGUUUUGAACAGAAUCAGGCCAUGCCUUUGAAUCCUUUUUUAUACCGUCCACAUGCGGAGACUCUUCCGCCCUUUGUGCUCUCUUCCUUACUUCUGAUCUGGGGACACAACAGUGGGCCCAGCCCCUGGUUCUGUGCUCUGGACUCCUGUCCCCUGGUAACACAUGAUAUCUUUUGCACCUAAAACUGUCUUUGAGAUUUCCCAGAGGGUCCUUGGAAAAUCACAGAGGAUUCAUUCUUUCAUCUUGUAAAUGGAGAGAAACAAACUCCACUGUCACUUGUGUUAUUCCUAAAUGAACACCUAUCAAAUCUUUUACCCUUGAAAAUCACAAGAUCUGAAGAAACCCUGCAACCUGAAGCCCAGAAACUUGACAUAAGCCUGCAAAGACUCACCACCACAGCCAGCCAUUCAUGGGCCAGAAUUCUCCUUGGACAAGCCGCAUCUGCACCACUAAGGAAGUCCAGCAAAAUGUUGGGUCACCCAUGCUCUUAAACAGGAGGUAGCCAACAUAGUGGGUGACAUCAGCAAGAACAUCAACAUCCAGACUGGAGAGCUUCAGGAAACUCAGAGUAGCACUGAAUAACCAAGAACUUCCUCCACCAACCUUUUGGGAUGUAUUGGACUGCUAAUCUUCAGAAUUCAGUUUCUGGCUCUGUACCUUAAUGUUAAUAUUUCCCUUUUUCAUUUUAAGAAUCCUCUUUUAAGAUACCUGGUCUCCAGAACCCCAAAACAACUGAUCUCUGUCACCACUUCUCACCAGGCAGUUCGUCUGGUUUUAUAGGAGCAUGACUAACAAGACACCUCAUGAGACUUUCUUAGAUCUUAUGUCACCUUCUCGGGGAUUUAUGAUCACCUUCGAGUUGUUCAGAAAGGAACGGUACUUGUCUUGAACAAAUGAGGGGAACUGACAAUGUUGAACUAUUUCUGGGCCUUAUGCUCCCAGGAAGUUGUGACAGUUAAGAAAUCCACCACCAGUUUGUGUCCCCGGAGCAGCUAACCAGAAAGGACCACCCUACCCUUGCAGAUUCCAAGAUCCAUCUCCAUCCUCCCUCAUGAAUCCUGUCAGUCUCAUAGAUGACUCUCUUGAGUGUCUGCUUCUAUAAGCCCUAGGCCUCCUUCCUUUUCUGUCAGUGGUUCCUCAUUAAUAAACAUUGUCCUUAUUGAAAUAUUCUGAAUAAAUCAUAUCCUUGAUUGUCUG